rnacentral:tRNA from 1 species
ACUUUCAAAGGAUAAUAGUUUUCCAUUAAUUUUAGGAAUUAAUAAUUCUCGGUGCAACCCCAAGUGAAAGUA